rnacentral:rRNA from 1 species
CGUCUGCCCUGUGACAAUAGUUCAACGGCCGCGGUAUUUUGACCGUGCAAAGGUAGCGCAAUCACUUGUCUUUUAAAUGAAGACCUGUAUGAAUGGCACAACGAGGGCUUAACUGUCUCCUUUUUCCAGUCAAUGAAAUUGAUCUUCCCGUGCAGAAGCGGGAAUACAACCAUAAGACGAGAAGACCCUAUGGAGCUUUAGACACAAGACAGAUCUUGUUAAACACUUCAAAAAAAUGAAACAAACAAAAAGAACCCUGCCCUAAUGUCUUUGGUUGGGGCGACCACGGGGAAACAAACAACCCCCAUGCGGACUGAGAAUACAAUUCUCACAACCAAGAGCUACCCCUCUAAUUAACAGAAACUCUGACCUUAAGAUCCGGCAAUGCCGAUCAACGAACCGAGUUACCCUAGGGAUAACAGCGCAAUCCCCUUUUAGAGUCCAUAUCGACAAGGGGGUUUACGACCUCGAUGUUGGAUCAGGACAUCCUAAUGGUGCAGCAGCUAUUAAGGGUUCGUUUGUUCAACGAUUAAAGUCCU